UGGAGGGCAAGUCUGGUGCCAGCAGCCGCGGUAAUUCCAGCUCCAAUAGCGUAUAUUAAAGUUGUUGCAGUUAAAAAGCUCGUAGUUGAAUUUUGGGUCUGGCCGGGCGGUCCGCCCUCUGGGUGAGCACUGUUCCGACGUCGGGCCUAUCCUUCUGGUGAGUCGGCAUGUCCUUUAUUGGGUGUGUCGGGGAACCAGGACCAUUACCUUGAAAAAAUUAGAGUGUUCAAAGCAGGCGUAUGCUCGGAUACAUUAGCAUGGAAUAAUGAAAUAGGACGCGUGGUGCUAUUUUGUUGGUUUCUAGAACCGCCGUAAUGAUUAAUAGGGAUAGUUGGGGGCAUUAGUAUUCAAUUGUCAGAGGUGAAAUUCUUGGAUUUAUUGAAGACUAACUUCUGCGAAAGCAUUUGCCAAGGAUGUUUUCAUUAAUCAAGAACGAAAGUUAGGGGAUCGAAGACGAUCAGAUACCGUCGUAGUCUUAACCAUAAACUAUGCCGACUAGGAAUCGGGCGAUGUUAUUCUCAUGACUCGCCCGGCGCCUUAUGGGAAAC
rnacentral:rRNA from 1 species